rnacentral:tRNA from 1 species
UCCCUUGUGGCUCAGACAGUAAGGCAUCUGCCUACAAUGCAGGGGACCUGGGCUCAAUCCCUGGCUUGGGAA